GCACUAGCACCUGUCAGUCCACACCAGAAUCUUGAUUCUGCAUCAGCUGGGCCCGCGUCGCCGGCUUCUUCAAGGCCAGCAUCAGCAGCAAUAUCGACUCCACCGCGGCCGCAAACUAUGAAAGAGAAGCAGAUGUACGACUUGACGCAAGAGUAUCUCGAUGAC
rnacentral:ribozyme from 1 species